UACGUAGGGUGCAAGCGUUAAUCGGAAUUACUGGGCGUAAAGCGUGCGCAGGCGGUUAUGCAAGACAGAUGUGAAAGCCCCGGGCUUAACCUGGGAAUGGCAUUUGGGACUGCAAGGCUUGAGUGCGGCAGAGGAGACUGGAAUUCCUGGUGUAGCAGUGAAAUGCGUAGAUAUCAGGAGGAAUACCGAUGGCGAAGGCAGGUCUCUGGGCUGACACUGACGCUCAUGCACGAAAGCGUGGGGAGCAAACAGG
rnacentral:rRNA from 1 species